GUGGUAUUUGCAGCGCAACAGCAAUAAUUGAUGCUUGUUCAUACUUGAUAUAUUGGCCUUCUUCACAAUUCCAACCACUUGUUCACAUACACACUUUACAAAGCAACAAAAACAGCAAGCAUUAGCACAGGCGCAUAUAGUAGAGCGAGGUCUUUGUAAAAGCUAGAAUAUUAAAAGAUGGAGUUUGCAUCUGCAAUAAUUGGUCCUAUUGUUGAAUCUUUAAUCGCUCCUGUGAAGAAACAGUUGGGAUAUCUCUUUUCCUCCAUGAAACAUGUUAGGAACAUGAAUACUAAAAUGAAGCAGCUGGAUGGUACAAGCAGUGAUGUUAAAAAGCACAUGGACGCUAACAAUAGAAGUUAUCUGGAGAUACCUACUCGUGUACCGGGUUGGUUGGAAGAGGUUGAAAAGAUUAAAAAAGAUGCUCAAAGCAUUUCAAGCACCGGGAAUGGAUGUUUCAACAUGAAAAUGAGGUAUCGAGCAGGUAGGAAUGCAUUCAAGAUUAAGGAGGAGAUGGAAAGUCUUAUGGAUGAAAAUAGUAACAUAAUUUGGACAGAUGCUCCAAAACCUCUUGGAAAAGUGAACUCGAAAAUCGCAUCCAGUUCUGCACCUUCGGAUGGUGACGCCCAAAAUCACUUCAAAUCAAGAGAGAAGACUUUCAAGGAUACGCUUGGGUUCCUUCAACAAAAUCACAAGAGCCAAAUGAUAGCCAUAUGCGGAAUGGGUGGUGUGGGAAAAACCACGAUGAUGGAACAACUGAAAAAGACUGCAGGAGAUACAAAAAUGUUUGAUUAUGUUCUGAAGGUGGUUAUUGGGCAACAAAUUAACAUGUUUUCUGUUCAGCAAGCUUUGGCUGAAUACAUAAGUCUAUCUAUAUCUGAAAUGAAUACAACAACAAGGGCAGAACGUCUUCGUAUAUCAUUUACGAACCUGGCAGAACGAAAACAAAAGGUUUUGGUGAUAUUAGAUGAUGUAUGGGAGAUGAUUAAACUCAAUGAUAUUGGACUUAAUCCUUUGCCUAACGGCUUCAAGUUAUUGCUGACAUCACGGUAUGAAAAAAUUUGCACAGAAAUUGCAGCAGGUUAUUUAGAUUUGAAAAUAGUUAGAGUGGAAGUGAUGGAGGAGCCCGAAGCACAGAACUUCUUUUGGCAAAUUACAGGUGCUUUAAACCAACAUGAUCAGGAGCUCAAUAAAAUAGGAACAGAGAUCGUGAGAAGAUGUGGCUUUCUGCCCCUUGCUAUUAAUCUCGUUGCCAUUCGUCUUAAGUUUGAAGAAAAGGUUGCAUGGAGAGAUACACUCCGCCGUUUGGAGAAUAAAAAUCUUGAUUAUGUGCAAGAAAGUGUUAAGAUAAGUUAUGACUAUAUAAAAGAAGAGGAGGAAAAAGAGAUCUUUCUUCUUUGUGGCUUGUUUCCUGAUGACUUUAAUAUUCCAAUCGAGGAACUCACAAGAUAUGCAUGGGGCCUACGGUUGUUAAAUGGGGUUUCUACUUUGGGAGAGGCUAGAGACAGGACAGAGACAUGUGUGCAGAGUCUCAAAAAAGCAAAUUUGUUGAUGGAUAGCGAUUACAUUGGGUGUGUCAAAAUGCAUGAUCUUGUGCUCGAUUUUGUUUUAGGUAGAGUUUCUAAGGGUGACCAUCCAUGGAUAAUCAACCAUGGUGAUAUUUCAAAGUGGAGUAGUGCUGGAAUGAGUGAGUCUUGUAACAGAAUUUCUAUUACUUGCAGGGGUAUGUUUGAGUUUCCUAGAGACUUUAAAUACCCAAACCUUGCACUUUUGAGACUUAUGCAUGGAGAUAAGUCGCUUACGUUUCCUGAAGAUUUUUAUAAACAAAUGGAAGAUCUUGAAGUUGUAGCCUAUGAAAAAAUGCAGUAUCCGUUGCUUCCUCGAUCACUUGAAUGCUCCACCAAGCUACGAACACUCAUUCUCCACCAGUGCCUAUUGAUGUUUGAUUGCUCUGCUAUUGGUGAACUCUUGAAUCUGGAAGUGCUCAGUUUUGCUCAUUGUGGCAUCACACAUUUACCAUCCACAAUUGGAAAUUUGAAGAAGCUAAAGCUACUGGAUUUGACAGGGUGUGUAAAUCUUCGUAUUGAUAAUGGUGUCUUGAUAAAUUUGGUUGAGCUUCAAGAGCUUUAUAUGAGAGUUAAUAAUAGAAAGGCAAUCAGGUUCACAAAUGGCAAUUGUGCUGAAUUAGCAGAGCUUUCAAAGCACCUUUCUGCAUUAGAAGUUGAGUUCUUUGACAACAAUGAUACGCCCAAGAAUAUGCUGUUAACUGAACUUAAAAGGUUCAGGAUCUCUAUGGGAUGUGGUUUAGGAGACAAUACUCACAAAAAUAUGCAUUCAUUUGAAAACACAUUGAGGUUGGUCACUAACAAAGAUGAGCUAUUGGAAUCUAGCAUCAAUGAGUUGUUUGAGAAAACUGAGGUGCUUUAUUUGGAGGUGGAUGGUAUGAAUGAUAUUGAAGAAGUUUUAGUGGAAUAUGUUCAUCUCCCUCAACAGUCAUUUAAUAAUUUAAGAGUCCUUGAUGUUAAUAACUGUGAAAACUUGAAGUACCUCUUCACAGUCCCUAUUGCAAAUGGUUUGGUGAAGCUUGAGUGCCUCACAGUUUCAGAUUGCCCUGUUCUGGAAGUACUUGCACAUAGUGAGAAUGGUGGAGAUGGGGCAAUUAAGUUUCAGGGGCUAAAGGUUCUAAGAUUGGAUAGCCUACCAAAGUUGAUAGGUCUUUGCAACACUGCUAAUGUAAUUGAGCUACCACAGCUGGUGGAGUUGGAACUUGAUGGCCUUCCUAAUUUCAGUAGCAUUUAUCCAGAGAAAACAUCUGCAACAUCUUCGAUGUCCAGUAAUGUCUCUGCAAUUCAACCAUUCUUUAACAAACAGAUGCUGAUUCCUAAGUUGGAGAAAUUGGGGAUUUGGAGGAUGGAUAAGCUGAAAGAGAUAUGGCCUUAUCAAUUUAGUAGUAGUGACGAAGUUAAUGCCUGCAUGUUGAGAGAGAUUAGAGUGAGCAGCUGUGAUAAUCUUGUGAAUCUGUUUCCAACCAAUCCCAUGUCUUUGUUGGGUCGUCUGGAAGUGCUUGAUGUUAGAGAAUGUGGAAGCAUUGAAGUGUUGUUUAACAUUGACAUGAGUUGUGUUGGUGAAACUGAAGAAUACAGUAGCAGCUUGAGAGAAAUUAAAGUAUCUAAAUUGGAGAAGCUAAGAGAGUUGUGGAGGAUGAAAGGUGAAAGUAGCUCUGAUAUCCUUAUCCGUACCUUUCAAGCUGUUGAAAGUAUUGAAAUAGGAAAGUGCGAGAGGUUUGUAAACGUAUUCACACCGACCGUGACCAAUUUUGACGUGAAAACAGUUAUGAAAGUGAGUAUAGAUGGUAGGAGAACGUGGGAAGAAACCAGGGGAAACAUUGAAUUGGUUCAGAACAACCAAGAGAUUAAUGUUAUAUCCAAGGCAGAGAUCAUUUCAGAGGUGGAUGGUAAUAUUCCUGACGUUGAAUCCUCAAUUCAUCCCAAACCUUUUCACGUUAAUCACCUUCAAACACUUUGGGUAAAUGGCGGCUGUAAGGAUGUUGAAGUGGUAUUUGAGAUAGAGAGUUCCAGCAGCAGCAACACAGAUUUGACAACAACUCUGCAUAAAUAUAAUCAUCAACCACCACCACUACUACUUCCCCACCUCAAGGAAUUGUGGUUACAAAAUAUGGAGAGGAUGAGUGAUGUGUGGAAGUGCAAUUGGAAGAAACUUGUAAUUCCUCAAAACCAAUCACAAUCCUACUCAUUCCACAACCUCACACAUAUAAUCAUGAGAAACUGCAAAAGCAUAAAGUACUUAUUUUCACCUGUCAUGGGCAAACUUCUUCCCAACUUAAAGGAGGUCGGGAUAGAAACUUGUGAUGGUAUUGAAGAAGUUGUUUCAAAUAGAGAUAUUAAUGAUGAAAAUGAAGAAAUAAUAUCUUCUACUCACACAAACACCUUCUCCUCCUUCCCUCUUCUUGAAUUUCUCAACCUGUGGAAUCUCCCAAGCCUAAAGAGUAUCGAUGGCGGUACUAGGAUCACAACUACUUCCAUCCAUAAUCAGUUCCAGUGUUCUCAAGUCGGUGUUGCUUCUUGGUUCUUAUGCCAAUACUCCAAAAAGAUUGAUAUAAGAAAUUGCCCUGCCCUAUCAAGAGUGUUUCCAUCCAAUGUAGUGGGACAACUGAAUAAGCUUGAAGAGUUGAGAAUAGUAGAAUGUAAGUCAAUGGUAGAGAUAUUUGAAAGUAAAGAAAUAAACAAAGAUGGUGUUGAUAGUACUACGAAUGUUGGUGAUGGAAGUGAUGAUACUUGUACUGCAAUCACCCUCCCAAGGUCGGCCAAUAUGACUCUGCUUCAAUUGCCCAACCUAACAAUAUUGGUCAUCAGUGAAUGUGAAGUUUUGGAAUAUAUAUUCACAAGUUCCACACUUGAAAGCCUUAAGCAACUCAAAGAAUUGACUGUAGCAGAAUGCAAGGCAAUGCAAGUGAUUGUGAAGGAAGACGGAGAUUUACCAGAACUCAAGGGUAUCUUCCCUCGUCUCAAGUCCCUUACACUUGCAGAUUUACCAGAUCUCAAGGGUUUCUUCUUGGGGAAGAAUGAGUUCAAGUGGAAAGCAUUGGAAAAGGUUAAGAUUUAUGGCUGCCCACAAAUGAUGAAUUUCACAUCUGGUCACUCCAUGACUCCGAAGCUCAACUACAUACAUACAGAAUUAGGCAAGCAUAGUCUUGAUCAAUGUGGCCUCAACUUCCAUUUGACCAAUGCUACACAAGAGACUCAACUCCCUAUGUGCUCUACUCCAGAUUUGAUAAAGCUAGUUCAAUUCCCGUGGUCUUUUUCAAAUUUAGUUGAAGUAGAUGCACAAAGGAGUGACAAAUUGUUGAAAAGCCGCAUAAUUUUUCCAUGCAAGGAGUUGCUUAAUCUGAAGAAUCUUGAAAAGCUUUCUAUUACCAAUGCAUAUGAAUCUGUAACAGAUGAGGUAUUUGAAGUAGCAGAAGGGACAAAUGAAGAUGUGGAUAUUGGAACACAAUCUGUUGUGGUAUUUGAGAAGCUGAAAGAGGUGACUUUGGGUGGAAUAAAUAAUCUGAAGCAUGUGUGGAAGAGCAAUCGGUGGAUAGUGUUGAACUUUCCAAACCUUACAAAGGUCUCAAUUGUAAGUUGUAAGCUUCUUGGACACGUUUUCAGUAGUUGCAUGGUUGGUAGUCUAUUGCAGCUCCAAGAGCUAAAAAUAAGUGACUGCAAGAGUAUGGAUGUGAUUGUGAAGCAAGUUGAAGAUUCCGAAACCAGACCGACUACUGAGGUUGUGUUCCCUUGUCUGAAAUCCAUUACACUUCACAACCUUCCAAAUCUCAUGGGAUUUUGCCUGGGGAAGGAGGCUUUUGAAUGGCCAUCAUUAGAUACUUUGGAAAUCAAAUAUUGUCCAAAAAUAACAGUAUUCACAAAUGGGCAAUCAACUACUCCGGAGCUAAAGUUAAUAGAUACAACUUUUGGAUUUUGUCAUGUAACAGAAGAACCCAACUCUUUUAUAAAGACCUAUCAACAAGAGGGAUGGCAGUUCUAGAGGAACAUUUGAAUUCACACGUGCAGUUUGGCUCAUUUUGAAGUCAGCUAUAUAGCAUAGAUAUACCAAAUAGAAAUUCAGACCACAGUAUCCAAGACAACUUUCUUUUUCGAAGCGAUAGGCAACUGAUCCACCAACAUAAACAAAUCAGGAACGGAAUCAAAAGGAAUUUGUGAAAUCUCCAACCAUUUAAAAAUCUCAAACCAAGUCCUGGCAGCAACCUCACAUUUCAAAUGAUCUUGUUGCUCAACCUCUACAUUACAAAUAGUGUUUUUAUCGUCGCCUUCAAUGAAUAUAUCUCAUGACGAUUUCAAAUAAACCAUUGUUCAUGAAAGCCUGAGAAAUGACGAUAAUGCCCUUGACUAUGAGCCACCCAGUAUGAAGGAAAUACCAAUCAAGAAAACCAAUGGGACCUGUAUGGACUAUGAAAAAGAGAAUAUGGAAAUGAUAGAUGUUGAAAUGAUGAAGGCAUUUUGUAUCACUCUUUAUUUUCUAUUUUUUUUUUUUUUUUUGGUUUUUCAUUAGGGUUCAUAAUUUUUGUUGAUGAAGGUUUCUCAUAGUGAGGUUACACAUUAAUAUUAAAAAAGUUUCCGAUUACAUCUAAAAAGUUUCAUUGCCCCUCCCUCAAAACAGAAUCUAAACCUCAGGAAACAAUUAGGGGAGUGAAAAAGAGUGACAGCAAUACUGGUAUAACUUACACUGACUCCAAAGGUGAUUUGGAGACACAAAACAGGUUUCCAUCGCCACCAUCAAUGAAUAUAUCUCAUGAUGACGAUUUCGACUUAACCAUUGUUCAUGAAACCCCGAGAAAUGACGAUAAUGCCCUUGACCAUGAGCCACCUAUUCUGAAGGAAACACCAAUCAAGAACAGUUACCCUGCUACUCUUGAAUCUGUCUCCGAGUCAACCAUAAUCCAAUCAAAGUUUCCCACUUGUUCCUUUUCUUCCCCUUGUUCCACUUCAGCUUCUGAAUGCAUGAACACAACAACACCAACACCUAAAAAACAACAAAUCCCUCAAACCAAUUCACCUCUAGAUUCAAGUGUCAAUUCCCAUUUUCACAAAAGAAGAAAGUCUUCAGCUUUUGCAUCAGUCAAAAUGUCCUGAUUUGAUUCCCCCAAACCCAAACCCACAUUUCCAGUGAAAGAAACCAUGAAUCUUGGUGAUGAAACCAAGAAGUAUCAAAGAUCUAAAAAUAUCGUGUUCACUCUGUAACACUCCAUUGGGUCUUGCGGAAAAUGACUAUUUUGUCCCUUGUUCAUCAAUGUCAUUAUCUAAAUUGCAUUUGGUGUCAAGUUGGAAAGGGAGAGAAAAGGGUGGGACAAGUGUGGCUGUUGUGGUGUCUGAUCUUUCAUGUGUUGAUGGGAGAAUUUGGAAAAGAAGUGGUGAUGAAGGAAUUUGGAGUAAAGAAGAUGGCUGUGUAUUUAAUAUGACUUUCUGCCCUUUUUGUAGUGAUCAAGACAAUUGCCUUGGGUUACAUGUUGUGGCAACUGAUUCCUCCAAUGUGCAGCUUUUAAACAAGGUGCUCUUUUAUUCUGACAGACUAGAAAUCCAACAUAUCCAUACAUCAACAACAAAUAAGGAAGAAUCACCAUCUAUUGUUACAAGUUUGAGUAAAAGCGUGCUACAAAAUCCGUUUGAGAAAUUUGCCUACACAUCUCCACAAACCAACUCAAUAGGUUGGAGAACCACAAAAUCUAAGAUGAGAUUACCAAAGAAAGUCCUAGUAUCCACUACCAAAUAUUGAUGCCUAACCUUACAUGUAAAUUCUUAAUCAUUGCUAAAUUGGUUUUAAACCUAUUUGGGAAAUUUAGGAUCUAUGCUUAUUAUUAUUAACUUCGUGAUGCAUUUGAGGUGUAUGACCAAUAAAAUGUGACUAUUGUAGUUGUAACA